rnacentral:rRNA from 1 species
GAUGAACGCUGGCGGCGUGCCUAAUACAUGCAAGUCGAGCGAACAGAUGAGGAGCUUGCUCCUCUGACGUUAGCGGCGGACGGGUGAGUAACACGUGGAUAACCUACCUAUAAGACUGGGAUAACUUCGGGAAACCGGAGCUAAUACCGGAUAAUAUAUUGAACCGCAUGGUUCAAUAGUGAAAGACGGUUUUGCUGUCACUUAUAGAUGGAUCCGCGCCGCAUUAGCUAGUUGGUAAGGUAACGGCUUACCAAGGCAACGAUGCGUAGCCGACCUGAGAGGGUGAUCGGCCACACUGGAACUGAGACACGGUCCAGACUCCUACGGGAGGCAGCAGUAGGGAAUCUUCCGCAAUGGGCGAAAGUCUGACGGAGCAACGCCGCGUGAGUGAUGAAGGUCUUCGGAUCGUAAAACUCUGUUAUUAGGGAAGAACAAAUGUGUAAGUAACUAUGCACGUCUUGACGGUACCUAAUCACAAAGCCACGGCUAACUACGUG